AGUAGUUUGACUCCGUGGCUCGAGGACGAACGCUGGCGGCGUGCUUAACACAUGCAAGUCGAACGGAACUUUUAGUUUAGUGGCAAACGGGUGAGUAACGCGUAGGUAAUCUGCCGCAAAGAUGGGGACAACAGUUCGAAAGGACUGCUAAUACCGAAUGUUGUAAGUAAUUCGCAUGAGUGACUUACUAAAGAUUUAUCGCUUUGCGAGGAGCCUGCGUCCGAUUAGCUUGUUGGUGAUGUAAAGGACCACCAAGGCGACGAUCGGUAGCCGGUCUGAGAGGAUGAACGGCCACAAUGGAACUGAGACACGGUCCAUACUCC
rnacentral:rRNA from 1 species